rnacentral:rRNA from 1 species
AGAUUGAACGCUGGCGGCAUGCUUUACACAUGCAAGUCGAACGGUAACAGGCCGCAAGGUGCUGACGAGUGGCGAACGGGUGAGUAAUGCAUCGGAACGUGCCCAGUCGUGGGGGAUAACGCAGCGAAAGCUGUGCUAAUACCGCAUACGAUCUAUGGAUGAAAGCGGGGGACCGAAAGGCCUCGCGCGAUUGGAGCGGCCGAUGUCAGAUUAGCUAGUUGGUGGGGUAAAGGCCCACCAAGGCGACGAUCUGUAGCUGGUCUGAGAGGACGACCAGCCACACUGGAACUGAGACACGGUCCAGACUCCGUACGGGAGCAGCAGGU